UACGUAGGGGGCAAGCGUUGUCCGGAAUCAUUGGGCGUAAAGCGCGCGUAGGCGGCCCGGUAAGUCCGUUGUGAAAGUCAAAGGCUCAACCUUUGAACGCCGAUGGAUACUGCCGGGCUAGAGUCCGGAAGAGGCGAGUGGAAUUCCAGGUGUAGCGGUGAAAUGCGUAGAUAUCUGGAGGAACACCGGUGGCGAAGGCGGCAUCCUGGACCGGUAUUGACGCUGAGGCGCGAAAGCCAGGGGAGCAAACGGG
rnacentral:rRNA from 1 species